GGGAAGGUAGCUCAGUGGUAGAGUGCUUGCCUUGCAUGCAUGAGGCCCUAGGUUCAAUUCCUCAGCACCA
rnacentral:tRNA from 1 species